AUUGAACGCUGGCGGAAUGCUUUACACAUGCAAGUCGAACGGUAGAGGGGGCAACCCCUCGAGAGUGGCGAACGGGUGAGUAAUAUAUCGGAACGUGCCCAGUCGUGGGGGAUAACGUAGCGAAAGUUACGCUAAUACCGCAUACGAUCUAAGGAUGAAAGCGGGGGAUCGCAAGACCUCGCGCGAUUGGAGCGGCCGAUAUCAGAUUAGGUAGUUGGUGGGGUAAAGGCUCACCAAGCCAACGAUCUGUAGCUGGUCUGAGAGGACGACCGGCCACACGGGAACUGAGACACGGUCCAGACUCCUACGGGAGGCAGCAGUGGGGAAUUUUGGAAAAUGGACGCAAGUCUGAUCCAGCCAUUCCGCGUGCAGGAUGAAGGCCCUCGGGUUGUAAACUGCUUUUGUACGGAACGAAAAGGUCUCUCUUAAUACGGGGGACUCAUGACGGUACCGUAAGAAUAAGCACCGGCUAACUACGUGCCAGCCGCCGCCGUAA
rnacentral:rRNA from 1 species